rnacentral:rRNA from 1 species
CAAGUCGAACGCGAAAGCCCCUUCGGGGGUAAGUAGAGUGGCGUCCGGGUGAGUAACACGUAGGUAAUCUACCUCUGGGUGGGGAAUAACUUGCCGAAAGGCGAGCUAAUACCGCAUAACGCAGCGGCACCUAAUGGUGAUUGGUUGUUAAAGCGGGGGACCCGCAAGGGCCUCGCGCCAGGAGAGGAGCCUGCGGCAGAUUAGCUAGUUGGUGAGGUAAUGGCUCACCAAGGCUUCGAUCUGUAGCUGGUCUGAGAGGACGGCCAGCCACACUGGCACUGACACACGGGCCAGACUCCUACGGGAGGCAGCAGUGGGGAAUUUUGGGCAAUGGGCGAAAGCCUGACCCAGCAACGCCGCGUGAAGGAGGAAAUCCUUCGGGAUGUAAACUUCACAAGUAAGGGAAGAAAGCUGCGGGUUAAAUAAAUCCGCAGUCCGACGGUACCUUACGUAAGCCACGGCUAACUACGUGCCAGCAGCCGCGGUAAUACGUAGGUGGCAAGCGUUGUUCGGAAUUAUUGGGCGUAAAGGGCGCGUAGGCGGUUUGUUAAGUCAGCUGUGAAAGCCCGGGGCUCAACCCCGGAGGGUCGACUGAUACUGGCAAACUAGAGUACGGAAGAGGUAGCUGGAAUUCCCGGUGUAGCGGUGAAAUGCGUAGAUAUCGGGAGGAACACCUGAGGCGAAGGCGGGCUACUGGGCCGAUACUGACGCUGAUGCGCGAAAGCCAGGGGAGCAAACGGGAUUAGAUACCCCGGUAGUCCUGGCCCUAA